rnacentral:rRNA from 1 species
GCGUGCUAAUACAUGCAGUCGAGCGGACAGAAGGGAGCUUGCUCCCGGAUGUUAGCGGCGGACGGGUGAGUAACACGUGGGUAACCUGCCUGUAAGACUGGGAUAACUCCGGGAAACCGGAGCUAAUACCGGAUAGUUCCUUGAACCGCAUGGUUCAAGGAUGAAAGACGGUUUCGGCUGUCACUUACAGAUGGACCCGCGGCGCAUUAGCUAGUUGGUGGGGUAAUGGCUCACCAAGGCGACGAUGCGUAGCCGACCUGAGAGGGUGAUCGGCCACACUGGGACUGAGACACGGCCCAGACUCCUACGGGAGGCAGCAGUAGGGAAUCUUCCGCAAUGGACGAAAGUCUGACGGGGCAACGCCGCGUGAGUGAUGAAGGUUUUCGGAUCGUAAAGCUCUGUUGUUAGGGAAGAACAAGUGCGAGAGUAACUGCUCGCACCUUGACGGUACCUAACCAGAAAGCCACGGCUAACUACGUGCCAGCAGCCGCGGUAAUACGUAGGUGGCAAGCGUUGUCCGGAAUUAUUGCGCGUAAAGGGCUCGCAGGCGGUUUCUUAAGUCUGAUGUGAAAGCCCCCGGCUCAACCGCGGAGGGUCAUUGGAAACUGGGAAACUUGAGUGCAGAAGAGGAGAGUGGACUUCCACGUGUAGCGGUGAAAUGCGUAGAGAUGUGGAGGAACACCAGUGGCGAAGGCGACUCUCUGGUCUGUAACUGACGCUGAGGAGCGAAAGGCGUGGGGAGCGAACAGGAUUAGAUACCCUGGUAGUCCACGCCGUAAACGAUGAGUGCUAGUGUUAGGGGGUUUCCGCCCCUUAGUGCUGCAGCUAACGCUUAAGCACUCCGCCCUGGGGAGUACGGUCGCAAGACUGAAACUCAAAGGAAUUGACGG